AGGAAGAAGUGUAGUAGUGAGGUCUUCAUCAAGGCUGCUGGGUGGAGGGCUUUUGAAAGAAAGGAAAAGGGGUUGGGUUCAGCUGGUCUUGAGGUGCUGUGGACAACUAAGUAGCCUCUGAAACACUUAAAGAUACUAAAUCUAGCUCCAGGAAAGGACUAGGACCAGAUGGAAAAAUUGAAGAACAGAGAAGUUGUGAUGUGGACAAGGUCUCAAAGAAGUCUUAUAGAUCCUUUCUUCCAAGGGCACUGAAGUCCUUUCCAAUCAAGACCUCCAGAAAGAUUCCAGUAUCUUCUGAGGUAAUUUGGAACCACGCUGCAUAAAUAAGUGAUCCUUUCGAAGUAUAUUAACAAUGGAUUGUAGGCUCCUCAAGGACAAAAGAGUGACAGUUGAAAGCAGAUUUAAUGAGUCAAAAAAAGCGUGUGGGUGGUCCAAGUUUUGGCAGUAAUAUUCUUCAAAGCAAUUGCAGAGGGAUCAUGCAGAUGAGGCAGACUGGGAUAAGUCAAAGACAAAUGAAGAAUGAUCUGCGACUGAGGAGCUGCAUUUGCAAAUGAGUUGACCUGUAAACAGUUUGCUGCAGCUACACACUUUGAUCAAGUACACAUAAAAGAGAAAAUCGCUCGAUUAAGAAGCAACAGAAGAAUUGCAACAGAAUUGGCCAUUUGUUCAAGCAUGGACAGCAGUCCCUCAAUUCAUGGUGGAGAAUCAACAGAGGUCUCUUGGAAAUUCAUCUGAAGAAAGAGUUUUGCAUGGACCCAAAAUAACCUGGGAAAGGAAGGAAACUCAGGUGUAUACCUGUUUGUUAUAUACUCGAGAAAGAAGGGGAAUGCCAAAGGGUCCAUUCCAUUUUAUGGUUCUUGCUUUUCAGGUCUCUCACUGAACCGUGCCCCACUCGACACAUCUUCCAAAUAUAGAAGUGCAGACUUCACAACCCCCUCACCUUAAUGAGCUGGUCAUGAUAUUUAUUGCCUGAGUUAAAUCUGCUGCUACGUGAAAAUGACUGAAUCCCAACUGGAGAAUGGAAAACAAAAUGCAUGUACACACGCAAAUUCAAAUCUUGUAAACUUAAAUAACAGUCACAUGGUUUUGGAGAAGCACUGGUCAAAAGCCAUGGCAGGAGAAGUUCCAUUCUCAAGGCCUAAGAAAUACUCUCCUCUGGCUGAAGAAAUUGAUUUCCCAUCUGUAUUCGUUGGGAGUUAUUUUUUGAAGGAUCACACUAUCAGUUAUUUUUCAAUAAGUACCUGUAAUGGGCUGGACAGCAAUACAUAAUGUUGGCAAAGAUGCAAAAAAGGUUGAAAAUAUUUUUCCUGUUACCUUGGGUAAAGAAGUCUUAGUUAUGAAGUGUGUUAAUCAGAGAUUGUCAGCAGUCCUGAAAAGAGGCCUAUAAUUGUAUAUAACUAAUUUUCUCCUGAUUCUCUAUUCCCUGGGUUUCUUCCAUUAGCUAUUAUCUACUACUCCAUCUGGGAAUUUUAUUGCACAUCCAAGGCAGAGUCCCUGUUUUUUCCACAAUUUUCUUUUUACAAUUUCUCUUGAAAAC